rnacentral:rRNA from 1 species
UAAUACAGAGGGGGCAAGCGUUGUUCGGAAUUACUGGGCGUAAAGGGCGCGUAGGCGGCCUGCUAAGUCGAACGUGAAAUCCCCGGGCUCAACCCGGGAACUGCGUUCGAGACUGGUGGGCUCGAAUUCGGGAGAGGGAUGCGGAAUUCCAGGUGUAGCGGUGAAAUGCGUAGAUAUCUGGAGGAACACCGGUGGCGAAGGCGGCAUCCUGGACCGACAUUGACGCUGAGGCGCGAAAGCCAGGGGAGCAAACGGGAUUAGAUACCCCGGUAGUCCUGGCCCUAAACGAUGAAUGCUUGGUGUGGCGGGUAUCGAUCCCUGCUGUGCCGAAGCUAACGCAUUAAGCAUUCCGCCUGGGGAGUACGGUCGCAAGGCUG